CCAAAUGCAAUAUUCUCAUAAUCUUUUACCAAAAUUUUCUUAAUGCUGCAAAAUAAAUUACAAGAAAGGGACUCUCAAAACAACUUUUCAUAUGUAGCCGUUUUUAUAUUUUUUAUCUUCAGAUUCUAAUAACAAACAUAUAAACUUUUUUUGGACUAAAAGUAAACGAUAUUCUGUCUUUUUAGCAAUCUUUUUAGCAAAUUUGUUCCAUCAUAAUAACAAACCCAGAGAUGAACCAAGGAGUAUUGAUAAACACUUACUUUAUGGAGUAAUUGUCUAGUGCAUUUGGCUUGGUAGGAGCAUGAUUUUGUUUAUAAUUAGUUGUUGAACUUGAUUAGAUAUCGGGGUACUCUUAGUCCUUAAUCCUAACUAUCUGUAAUGAUACAGAAAAUGAACACGUGUAAAUAAGGCUCACAUAAGUUUUGAUUUGGAGGUAGAAAUGAUCUUUGAUUGUAAUACUCUCGGCUGGUAAUUUAGAAGCUAAAUAAUUAAUAUUCAGAAUACUUGCAUCCCAAUCCUAUAAAGAUGUUAUAUGUCACGGAAGAUUGUCAAUGAAUUUUCACGGAACACGUACAAAACUUACUUCCCACGUGCGACGGUAGUUUCUUUUUUAAAAUGAAAUACAUGAAAAGAUUAAAUUAAAUGAAAUACAUGAAACGAUAUUCUUGCUUAACCGAUUUCAAUUAUAAUUAAAAUGAUCCAUCAAAACCAAAUUCUAUUGAAAUAAAACAAUGAAAGUCAUUUCCCACUCAACGAAGUUGGUUACAUGGAUUGAACAACACCGUUACCACCGUCAUCAAUAAGACUCAUUUCUCCGGGAUGCAAGUAUUCUGAAUAUUAGUUAUUUAGCUUCUAAAUUACCAGCCGAGAGUAUUACAAUCAAAGAUCAUUUCUACCUGCAAAUCAAAACUUAUGUGGGCCUUAUUUACACGUGUUCAUUUUCUGUAUCAUUACAAAUAGUUAGGAUUAAGGACUAAGAUUACCCCGAUAUCUAAUCAAGUUCAAUAACUAAUUAUAAACAAAAUUCAUGCUCCUACCAAGCCAAAUGCACUAGACAAACGUGCUCAGCAAAGGACACACUUGCUGAAAAUGACAAGGAAAAGGAGUGGUAAUCAACCAGCAAAGGACACACCUGCUGAAAAUGACAAGCGUGCUCAGCAAGAAACGCACGCAGAACAACAUAUUGCCCCUGUUGAAGAAGG
rnacentral:lncRNA from 1 species